ACAGGAUCUACCCUUGGUCAGGUUGAAGUUCAGGUAACACUGAAUGGAGGACCGAACCGACUUACGUUGAAAAGUGAGCGGAUGAACUGAGGGUAGCGGAGAAAUUCCAAUCGAACCUGGAGAUAGCUGGUUCUCUCCGAAAUAGCUUUAGGGCUAGCCUCAAGUGAUGAUUAUUGGAGGUAGAGCACUGUUUGGACGAGGGGCCCCUCUCGGGUUACCGAAUUCAGACAAACUCCGAAUGCCAAUUAAUUUAACUUGGGAGUCAGAACAUGGGUGAUAAGGUCCGUGUUCGAAAGGGAAACAGCCCAGACCACCAGCUAAGGUCCCAAAAUAUAUGUUAAGUGGAAAAGGAUGUGGCGUUGCCCAGACAACUAGGAUGUUGGCU
rnacentral:rRNA from 1 species